GGAACGGUAGCUCAGUGGUAGAGCAGUGGAUUGCAGAUCCAAAGGUCAUGAGUUCGAUCCUCAUUCGUUCCU